rfam:Achromobacter sp. DMS1 scaffold37, whole genome shotgun sequence.
CGGCAAGAUGUGUGUUGUACCGGUACGGGCUGCGCCCGCACCGCUCCAACACCACCCUUACUCGCCUGCGGCUCGAUGGCAUCUUGCUCUGCGAGGCU